GGUCGGUUAGCUCAGUUGGUAGAGCAUCGCAAUUACAUACAUCUCUAAUCCGUAGCAUACGGAGUACUAAGUACUGCGAAGGCCAUAGGUUCAAGCCCUAUACUGACCA